CAUCGUCUAGAGGCCUAGGACACCGCCCUUUCACGGCGGUAACAGGGGUUCGAAUCCCCUUGGGGACGCCA
rnacentral:tRNA from 1 species